GCUAUUAGGUUGGCGCAAAAGUAAUCGCGGUUUUUGUCAUUACUUGUAAAAUUGCAAAAACCAUUAAUCGUAAAAACGAUUACUUUUGCACCAGCCUAAUAC
ensembl:miRNA